UGUGCGUAUCGGCAAAAAAUGCGGAAUAACCCUUUAACUGUACAUUUGACAGAUACGCGCGCAUGGACUUUUUUGUAGAUCUUAUUGAGUUACAUGUGUGUGUCAAUUUUUGUGUCAUUUUGACAAAGCGUAUAGGCGUGACACUCAACAAUGUGUAUUUUCACCUUAGGGGACAAGAAAAAAUGGACUUUUUUCUCCUGCCAUGGGGGGGCGCUCUUUUGGGGAGUAAAAAUUCCUUCACAAAUGUGUUGAUGGCUGGACAUUGCAUCAUCCUAGAAAACUUGGAGGCCAGUGAGGACAAAAAUAAAAAGUUAUAAGACUUUUAAAUAUGUGGAUUUUAGGGUUAUCUUUGGCGCCCCCUAGAACCUAAACCGUGGGGUGCAGCGUCAUGAUUUGAAUAACUUUUAAUGGCCAUGGGGUGUAGAUUGGCCUGAGCAAAUGUGGUGCCGGUGGAACGAAAGCCUUCGGAGGAGUUAGCGAAAUUCCAAUGUGUGCAGAUCUGCAAAAAAUGCAAAAUAACCCAUAAACCGUACAUUUGACAGAUACGCCCGCACUGACUUUUUUGUAGAUCUUAUUGAGAUACAUGUGUGUGUCAAUUUUUGUGUCAUUUUGACAAAGCGUACACGCGUGACAGUCAAUAGUGUGAAUUUUCACCUUAGGGGGCGCUAUGGAGCCAUUUUGCAUUUUCUUGUUUGGGCGACUUCGGAAUAUCAAAUUUUUCACCAGGCCCGGUCGUCCUGCCAAAUUUCAUGAGUUUUCGCCAGUGGGAAGUGGGCCAUUUUCCAGUUCAAAGGGGAGGAAAAAUAAUAAUAAUAACAAAAGAAGGAAACAUGCAGGAACAAGAGGGCUCUCGCAGCUGCUUAGCAGCUACGCUCGGGCCCUAAAAAACCACUUGGGGAAUAAUAGGGCUCUCGCAGCUGCUUAGCAGCUACGCUCGGGCCCUAAUAACAAAAGAAGGAAACUACAGGAACAAGAGGGCUCUCGCAGCUGCUUAGCAGCUACGCUCGGGCCCUAACUAGGACCCCGUUGGGGCACUGGCGGGCCCGAGCUGUGUCGCGUCCCCCCCCCAACGCGCUGCCUCCCCGUCCCAUUUGUGUCCUCUGGCCAUCGCCCUCUCUGGUAACGCCCAUCACUGCAAAGACCCUUUUCCUUCAUCUGCGUUUGCUGUUCUUCCUGCCAGUGCGUGUUGCUUUCACUUACACUUGCCACAGCCAGCCUCUUGAGUGCCUAGCCCCUGCCCAUGUAUAAUCAUGUGCACGUCUCUGUUCUAGCUCUAAGGUGAAUCUUCACUGCUCAUGUUCUCCUCAGAAGCAGUCACCUCACUCCCCUCAGGUUACUGUACACAUGCACCAACUGCCUGCUUCAGGUUUGGAUGGAGCUUCAUGGUUGUCUUUUGGAGAAAUGACCAGUCAAGUUGUGUUUGAAAUUUGAUUUUUUUCAGGGGCAAAAGGAGCCUCUGCAUUCUUGUCAAAUAUGUAAAUAGCAUGUUUUUGCAGGUGCUAAAAACCAGACUCUGAGUGUGUGUGUGUGCGUGUGUGUGUGUGUCUGUGUGUGUGUGUGUGUGCGUUCAAGUCACAUGACAUAUUUAACCGGAUGUAGCUGCAAGACGGAGCCUCGUUGACUCUCCGUUUCAAUUUAUCUCAAAAGUGAGGACCUCAACCUAUAUAUCAGUUUUUAAAUUGUGUUGAUAGGCCAAAUAAAACCAGAGUUAUGAUAAAUUAUGUCCACGAUACUUGUUUUCUGCUUAUUUUGAUCACGUUCGGCGCUCGAUCGCGCUGUAUGAGACAGGAAAACAUAGCAUGCAGACAUUAGCGACAGGUCUUACAGGCGGAAAAGGCUUGCCAAAGGAAAAAAAAACACACCACAACAUCUCUCCUAUUGGUGGAAAACUUCACCACAACAACCAAUCCAAAAUUAUAUGGUGACUGAUUGACAAGGGGCGGGAACUUACGUUCUUCCUGCAAUAUGAGAAGGGAGGGAGGGACUCUCAGCAGGGAUGCAGUCUGGGACACGUAGUUGCAAACCUAGCGACUUUG